GUGCUCGCUGUAGUGAGAUGCCGCAUGGCUAACACAAGGAAAUGCUGAAGAUCGGGGAUCGUGCUUAGUCAAAGCAUUGUAAUAAUGCCGACUACAAAACAGUCAACAGAUAACUCCACAGCGUGGCUGAAGAUGAGCCAAGCUGAAUGUAUAGUGAUAUUCAAUAUCCUGGAAGGGUUGUAAGAAAAUCAACUGACAUGGUAUGUGACGAGACUGGUUAUUCCCAAUCUGGAAUGAGUGGAAUUAUAAAAGAAGAACUAAAAUAUUUCAUCACUCUGCAUAUGAAACAGGAUUAUUGCUGUACCAGUAAGUGUUUUGAAGUGGCUUCUUAAAUUGCUACUUUUUUAUUAUGUGAGCUUAAGUACUUUAUUUUGCAAGGAGAGAGAUUCUUGCAGUGAGUCUGACUGGGUUUAGCUAUAAGUCAGUCUCACAAGAUAAAUGCUCCACUUUCAUUUAAGUGUCCUGUCACUUGAUAGCUUGUCAAAAUUUUAAUUUUUCCAUUUUUAAUGUUCCUGUUCAAGUAGAUUGAAAACUUUAGAUAUAGAUAUGUAAAAGAGAGAGAUAGCAUAUCUAACCAUACACUGAAAACUACUGACAUUUCAUCAAUACAUGAAAGAUGUUGCUACUCAUAACGAGAUAAUUGUUACGACAGAGCAGGCUCUUUUAGUCAAAAUGCUUCAUUGAAGAAAUAGUGGGGCAGGCUGGUAGAAAUUGUGGUGCUAGUUAUGUAGGGCAAAGGUUGGGAUACUGAGAGCAUACUUGAUUGUUUUUGUUUUGUUUUUGCAAGUCAAUAUGUUUUCCUGUUUGGUUUGCAUAUGACCCUGAAGUAGACUGUAGUUUCAUGUACAAAUGUAUUACAAUGAAACAUUUGUAUUUGACUUUUAACCAUCACAAUUUCCCUUUGUGCACAGCAGCAGCCUGGGGAUAUUAUAUCUGCCACUGCUUACAAAUAGUUUGGAAGUAACAGGCAAGA
rnacentral:lncRNA from 1 species